GAUGAACGCUGGCGGCGUGCCUAAUACAUGCAAGUCGAGCGAACAGACGAGGAGCUUGCUCCUCUGACGUUUGCGGCGGACGUGUGAGUAACACGUGGAAAACCUACCUAUAAGACUGGGAUAACUUCGGGAAACUGGCGCUUAUACCGGAUAAUAUAUUGAACCGUAUGGUUCAAUAGUGAAAGACGGUUUUGCUGCUACUUAUAGAUGGUUCCGCGCCGCAUUAGGUUGUUGGUAAGGCAACGGCUUACCAAGGCAAUAAUGUGUAGCCGACCUGGGAGGGUGAUCGGCCACACUGGAACUAAGACACGCUCAAGACUCCUACGGGAGGCAGCAGUAGGGAUUCUUCCGCAAGGGGCGAAAGCCUGACGGGGCAACGCCGCGUGAGUGAUGAGGGUCUUCGGAUCGUAAAACUCUGUUAUUGGGGAAGAACAAAUGUGUAAGUAACUAUGCACGUCUUGACGGUACCUAAUCAGAAAGCCACGGCUAACUACGUG
rnacentral:rRNA from 1 species